AACUUAUGUUUCAAAUUUAGCUCUUAUGAAGACCAUCGAUGAAACAAGAGUUACGACAACAUUCUUUGCCCUGGUAUUCAAAGGUGACGCAAACAAAAAUUUGGCACUGGCUGGAAAUGGAAAAGGAAAACCCAUCAAAGCCGUAGGAAUACCACUGGCGCUGCAGACUCCAGACAACUCCAUCUUUGAGCCUGACUACUUCUGGAGCUAUACGAUGUUCAAACAACGUAACAGCGACUACUAUCUGGGAUGUGAUGCUAAAGGAAAUCUAACUCUGGUUGAAAAUUGGAACCCGCAGUAUCCGAAUCCUCAAGCUCUUUUCAUUCUUAAUAAACCAGAUAAAUCUGUCUGAGAGAGCCAAAGAUCUGUUGAGCAUUUCAACCUAGUUGGAUACAAAAUAGAAAGAAUUCAGUUGGAAAAUGUUGAAUUAUCGUAAGUUCUUCUAAAAGUAAUCAGAGCAUUAAACUCUAAUAGCCGAGGCUUUCCCAGUAAUUUUUUGCAUUGUAAAAAUAAUUUGUUGAUGACUUUUUUUUAAUGUGGUAGUUCGUCAUAAUUAAGAUCAGAAAAUAUCAUAUCAGUAUCCCCUGGUUGCUAAGGCUGGCGUGAAAGCUGGCUGCUCUAAUGUCUUGCUCUUUAGAAAAACGACUAUGUUUUAAUCUUCAUAGACACAAAAAGACGAAUUGGAAAAAUAUUUACUAUUUGUAAGUUUUUCAAACGGUAAUCAGUACCUGUAAUCUCCUUUAAACCCCAAUAACGCGGGUCUUCAAAUUAAUUCCUGAGAUUAAUGGAAUUUGUAGUUGAUUCUUUGAUGUUGUACCCCGUCAUCUUGUUGCAGCAAGGAAGACCAGGUGAUAUUAUUAUCUAUUUGUUUAUUGCAAAAAUGAUUUCACCUGUGAAAGAGGAAAAUUUCCCUAGAUGACUUUUAACUCUUAGAAUUCUUCGAGUCGGUGGCUUACGUCCGAACCGAACAGCUUGCAGACUCAUAUUACUGCAUUUGAGCCGAUUUUAAAAUCUAGACUUGAACUGCAAUGACCUUUGUAGUCUACCUAUUAUAAUAAACCUCCAAAAAUUUAGACGA